rnacentral:rRNA from 1 species
GAUCAUGGCUCAGGACGAACGCUGGCGGCGUGCCUAAUACAUGCAAGUGGAACGCUGAAGGAAGGAGCUUGCUCUUUCCGGAUGAGUUGCGAACGGGUGAGUAACGCGUAGGUAACCUGCCUGGUAGCGGGGGAUAACUAUUGGAAACGAUAGCUAAUACCGCAUAACAGUAGAUAUCGCAUGAUAACUACUUGAAAGGUGCAAUUGCACCACUACCAGAUGGACCUGCGUUGUA